CCGGCCGCCCAUCGUCUGAGAUGUGGGGAGCGCCUCUGCCCCUCCGCCCCAUCUGGGAUGUGAGGAGCGCCUCUGCCCGGCCGAGACCCCGUCUGGGAGGUGAGGAGCGUCUCUGCCCGGCCGCCCCGUCUGAGAAGUGAGGAGACCCUCUGCCUGGCAACCACCCCGUCUGAGAAGUGAGGAGCCCCUCCGCCCGGCAGCUGCCCCGUCUGAGAAGCCUGGCGUGGUGGUCACACCUGUAAUCCCAGCACUUUGCAAGGCCGAGGCGGGUGGAUCACCUGAGAUCGGGAGUUCAAGACCAGCCUGACCAACAUGGUGAAAUCCCAUCUCUACUAAAAAUACUCAGGAAGUUGCUUCCUCUGCUAAGCAUAGAGGACCAAGGGGAAGGGAGCUGGGGUUGAAUGUGAGCCUGCCUGGACAGUGUUCUAACCAAGGAACCCAGCGGGAACAGAUGUGUCUU
rnacentral:lncRNA from 1 species